rnacentral:guide_RNA from 1 species
AACAAACUCAUAGGUGUAUCAAGUGAAUGUGAGAGUAAAUUGA